rnacentral:rRNA from 1 species
AGGAUAAACGCUGGCGGCGUGCCUAACACAUGCAAGUCGCACGUCCUACGCAAGUAGGGAGUGGCGGACGGGUGAGUAAUACAUGGGUACCUGCCCCGAAGUGAGGAAUACCACCGAGAAAUCGGUGACAAUACCGCAUACGUUUCUUUCGCAAGAAGGAAAGAAAGCCGCAAGGCGCUUUGGGAUGGGCCUCUGGCCGAUUAGCUAGCUGGUGGGGUAAUGGCCUACCAGGGCGACGAUCGGUAGCUGGUCUGAGAGGAUGAUCAGCCACACUGGGAUUGAGAACGGCCCAGACUCCUACGGGGGGCAGCAGUGAGGAAUUUUCCGCAAUGGACGCAAGUCUGACGGAGCAACGCCGCGUGCAGGAAGACGGCCUUCGGGUUGUAAACUGCUUUUCUCUGGGACGAGUACGGACGGUACCAGGAGGAAUCGAGCCCCGGCUAACUACGUGCCAGCAGCCGC